UACGGAGGGUGCUAGCGUUGUUCGGAAUUACUGGGCGUAAAGGGCUCGUAGGCGGCCAACUAAGUCAGACGUGAAAUCCCUCGGCUUAACCGGGGAACUGCGUCUGAUACUGGAUGGCUAGAGGUUGGGAGAGGGAUGCGGAAUUCCAGGUGUAGCGGUGAAAUGCGUAGAUAUCUGGAGGAACACCGGUGGCGAAGGCGGCAUCCUGGACCAAUUCUGACGCUGAGGAGCGAAAGCCAGGGGAGCAAACGGG
rnacentral:rRNA from 1 species